GUUUACCUCUGUGUUGUAGCUAACGCGUUAAGCACUCCGCCUGGGGACUACGGUCGCAAGACUAAAACUCAAAGGAAUUGACGGGGACCCGCACAAGCGGUGGAGCAUGUGGUUUAAUUCGAUGCAACGCGAAAAACCUUACCACUUCUUGACAUGGAGGCUAGAUCCUUCUUAACAGAAGGGCGCAGUUCGGCUGGGCCUCGCACAGGUGCUGCAUGGCUGUCGUCAGCUCGUGUCGUGAGAUGUUGGGUUAAGUCCCGCAACGAGCGCAACCCUCAUCCUUAGUUACCAGCGGGUAAUGCCGGGCACUUUAAGGAAACUGCCAGUGAUAAACUGGAGGAAGGUGGGGAUGAUGUCAAGUCAGCACGGCCCUUAUGGGGUGGGCUACACACGUGCUACAAUGGCGACUACAAUAGGUUGCAAUGUCGCAAGAA
rnacentral:rRNA from 1 species